AUGCCAACAGGGGCAAGAGCAGGGAAGUACUCUAAACACAUCAGUAAACUAUGCUCUAGAUGCGGCAUGGAAGAGGAUGAUAUUCAUUUAUUCUUUACAUGCAAUUUUGCUAGAGCCGCUUGGUUCACUGCUCCCUGGUUUAUCCGUUCUGAUAUUCUAGUUCUAAACUGUAACUCUCUCACUCAGCUUCUUAUAACGUUCCUAAAUAUGAAUCAUCCACAUGCAUCCUUGCCAAACAUCCUUACCUUUAUGUGGUGCAUAUGGAAAUCCAGGAAUGAAAAUCUUUUUGAUAGGAAGCCAGGCAGCCCACACCAAGUUCAUCACAUGGCACAAGCAAUUAGACAAAAUAUGGAGAUGUUGGACAUGCCUCAGUUGGCGCUGCAGCAACAACUAAAACCGCGCAACAACAUUA
rnacentral:rRNA from 1 species